GAACUUUGGUGUGUGUACCAAGAAGAAUAACCGAGAAAGGCAAUCCAGACUUACUUUGGUUUUAAAGUCCAAGAUAGAAACUGUAUUUUGUACUUCCUUAGAGGUCAAUACCAGGGCGGUGAUUUUGGAGCAGCCAAGCACUAGUGGGCUUCAAAAGAAGGUUAACUCUAAAGCAGACUAUAUGGAUAAUUGUACUGAUGAAAGUGUUAUAUCAGGCAGCGAAUAUUCCCCUUCCAGUGAAGAAGAUUCAGAAGAGGAUUCUGAUAACUCAAAUAUUUCUUAUUCGACGAGUCUCAUAAACAAAUAUCCGGAUGUUGAUAGAGUCAAACGUAAAAUGUUUCCGGAUAACCAAAAAAUUAAAAAGGUAAAGCUAAAAAAUGUUAAGAUUAAGAAAUAAAAAUAGAAAUUAGAAAUAAGUAUAAAUUUAAUAAAUAACUAAGAUAUUUUUAA